rnacentral:lncRNA from 1 species
ACCUAGAACAGUUGAACUUGGCCGGAAAUUUUCCAAAAACCGGCGAGAAUUGCAGAAACCGGCGAGCUAUGAUUUCGACGUAAAAACUUCAAUAUUAGGCCUCUAUCCCUUCUGGAGAGUUGUUAAUAACCUCAAGGCGAACUCACUGGUUCAAGAAUUAAUCAAAACGAUGCUCUACAGCCCGAGAUAUCUUGAUCAAAAGUCUCGGUGGCCGGAAAAAUUCCAGAAUCCGGCGAGAGCUCCGUUCCACGUAAAAACUUCAACAACUCGCUUCAAUCCCUUCAUGAAAGUUGUUCAUAACUUCAAUCUGAGUUCAUCAGCUCAAGAAUCACAGGAAGAGGUGGUCUGUAACUCGAGAUAUCCGGAUUUGAAGGUGGUUUUCGAUCUAAAUCGGGGCGAGCUCCGACGAACGUGAAUCCGGUCACUCCAGGUACGAUCCUUCUGGGAUGAUGAUCAGCAGGUUGAGGCGAGUUCAGGAUGCUAUGGAUCUUGGGUUUUGGUAGCCGGAGGGUGGAGAACUCGGCGUUGACUCAAAAUCGAACUCAAAUCGGAACAAGCUUGCCGCCGCCGUUACAGGCCGAGCCGCCG